rnacentral:tRNA from 1 species
UGGUAUAUAGCUCAGUGGUAGAGUGCAUGCUUAGCAUGCAUGAGGUCCUGGGUUCAAUCCCCAUUACCUCCA